ensembl:lincRNA
CCCCGCCCGGGGACCCGGCCCGCCCCCUGCGCCCCUACUCUUUACCCCUUCCAGGGACACACCACCCCGGGCCCACCCCACGCAGGCCUCUCCCUAAGGAGCCCGGGCCAGCUGGGGUGGUGAGGGUGUCGAGGCUUUUUUGCUCCUCCGGGAGGCUGGACACCCUGGCCACGCGGGCUUCCCGACACCCGUGGGUGGGAGCCCAGGUCGAGAUUGCGCCAACAUCUAGACCCAAACAGAGACCCUGGCGCACACGCAGGCACCCCGCGCUGAUAAAAGGUCCCACCACACUGACAUACGCAUGCACGCACCAACACAGGUACACACGUACCUGAGCGGGACACACCCCCCCACAGCCCUCAUGGGGCAGGGCGGGAGAAAUCUAACCUGGGCAUAGAAACACCCACAGGGACACUCCCUCUUCCGCCCACCCCCUUUUCCCCCAACGGACACCCAGAACCCCGAAUCGGACGUCGUGUCGGGUGCGCACGCAGGCGAGGGACUGGACACACGCUCUAGACGGGAAGGUGGAGGAGCCGAGCGUGAGUGAGAUUCCGUGACUAUUCGGGGAGCUCCUUAGCCCCCCGCGCGCUGACUCACGCCAGGCGGCUCGCUCUGUCUCACACCCAUGAAGCGUGCACCCCCACCCACUGUCACUCCACCUCCCUCUGGGCCUGGCUGGAAAGCGAGUCCCAAAGGAGCGGACUCCGCGCGGGCGGCGGGCGGGUCCUCUCAGCAGCCCUGGGUGGAAACUGACCGGGGUCCCAGAGCAUCCCUGAGACCCAGGACGUCCCCCAGUGGCCCAGGGAGGAGAUCCAGGAGCGGUUCCUCUUCCAGUGAGUUCUGCGUGACUGCCACAGGACAGUUCUCAUGGAUUGUGCCCAAAACAGGCCUGAGUGAGCAACCCCAUUACUGCCCUGAAUGACCGCACUAGUUGCAGCGGAACUGUUCAUCAGUCCUCAAUGACCAUACCCAAGAAUGAAGCUAGGCUGUCACUCCACUGCAAUGCCAUGUCAUCCUGUCCAGGUGUUCACCAGCUCUGCAGGAAGAGCUACUGUGUCAUCCUCGUCACUCUCCUUUUCAAAAUCUUCAUCUUCCUCCUCUGUUAGAGGGUGGUCUACAUCAAGCUUGGCCGCGGGAAUCUGGUCCAAUGGAGCUUCUUUGACACUGACGAGGAGGCUGUGUGUUCUCAGGUUCAAAAGCUGGCUGAGCUGCUGUUGUCAUCCUUUACGCUUCGGAUUGUCACAGGGAACCUGCAGACUCUUCACCACUGCCCCACCCGAUGAGGGGUGGCCCUCUGCAGAGUCACCUGUACACUGUGCUCUCCAUGGCCGCCGGAGACUGGAGAAACUCAUCUGCAGCACUGGGUCCUCUGCCUCAACCCCCAGAGGCCCUUACCGGCCCCACCCACAGUCUGGUUUUCUCCUGCCGCUCUUUGGUCCAAGCUCGCACACAGCCUGCGGCCGGAGAUCAUACAGACGUCAUUAUGACUUUCAGCUUCCAGAAACCUCUGCGCCUAGGGCCAAAGGCCAAGACCUGGAAGGUAUUCCUCAUUAUUUAGUUGGAAAAGGAAAUGGCAACCCACUCCGGUAUUCUUGCCUGGAGAAUCCCAUGACAGAGGAGCCUGGUGGGCUACAGUUCACGGGGUUGCAAGAGUCGGACACGACUUAGCAACUAAACCACCAACAACCACUGUUUUCUUUAGUUAAUGACCCAAUGAUCUUUAACAUCAGUGCAUACAGGUCCACCUCAUUCUAGUUAACAGCUGCAGAAUAUCUAGAUGAACCAGAGAUGAUUUUAUUGUCCCCCAUUGGUGGAGAUUUAGGGAAUUUCCCAAUGUUUCACUUGUAUAAAAAGUUCUGAAACAAAUACCUACAUCUAUGUAGAUAGAUAUAGACUCAUAUAAAUAUAGAUAUUUUUGCAUAUCUUUGUCAAUAGCUCUGUAAAGUAAAUUACUAGAACUGGAAUUGCUUUCUCAGUGAUAUGCGUUAUUUUAAAUUUUGAUGGCUACUGCCAGAUUUUCCUCUACAGUUUUUGGACCAAUUCAUAGUUCCCACCAAUGGGAAUGCUGUUUGACAACAACCACACCAACAAUGCACAUUAUUAUUAAUCUUUAAUCUUUGCCAUACCACAUGAAAAAUUGAUAUCUCAUUGUAAAUUUCUUGCAUUUAUUUUUUAUUAUUGCUAUUAUUAUUACUUAUUUAUUGGCCACUUGUAUUUUUCUCCUAUAAUUGGACUAUUAGUGUCUUUUCCUCAUUUGGGAGAGGGAAAUAGCUGUUUAUCUAUCAUGUAUAUAGAAAAGGUCAAUUCAGAUAAGGUCAAGAAUUAUUGAGAAUGAUGACAAACGGAACCUCAAAUAGAGUCUCUGAUCCAAAGAGAAAACAAUGACCUCUCACAUACGGUUGCUUUGGUUGUGAGAAUGGAUUCAGUCUGGAGCAGUCACCUAAUUGAUGGUCCCAAGGAAGAGCUGACAAGCAGAAUACAUGCCAGGAGGGCUAAACAGAGAGCAUCCUAAGACAUGGCAAUUGUUAAUGCAUGUCAUGUUGCCUCCCUCACCUCUGCACCUGCCCCAGCAGCUCCAGGGAAUGCACCCUGGGUGUGGGAGAAAAAUUCAGGGACAGCCACUAAGGAAAAUGCACAGCUGUGGAAAGAAAAACCUCUCCAAAACUGUGAUAUCUUAGAACUCAGUGAUGAACACUGGAAAACAGACUACAAAAUACGUGUCCAACCAUGUACCCCUUUCUUCCUAGUGAGGAGUCUUGUCCAGAGUUGGAAGAGGGGACAAGGGGAAGAGAAUGAUGAAGGGAGCUCUCUUCCACACUGAGAACAAAAUUGAUUCUUUUUAUCCCACUGUUGGAGGCAAGAUCAAGCCUUGUACUUGUUGAAAAUGCAAAUUCCUAGGCUUCAACCAAGAUGCAUCGGUAUCAGAAUCUCCAGAGGAAGGGCCCAAGAGCUGUGUGCUUAGCGAGCACUUCAGGUGGUGCAGGAAACUGGAGGAAAUUUUGCCCAGGGACCCUGGUUCUCAAUGUUGGCUGCAUAGUAGAACCCCAGGAAGGUUCAAAACAAAACCCCCACACCCCACCCAGGAAGCUUCUAGUUUAUUGGUCCGAGAUAAAGCCUAGGCCACAGAUUUUGCUCUUUGUUUUCAGCUCUCCUGGUGAUCCUACUGGGCAGCUGUGUUGAAAACUGCUUGGUUUCCAAAAUGGUCAGAUGAUUAGAAUCAUUAUCAGUUUUACCAAACAGCCUGACCAAAAUGCAGAUUCACAGGCCCCAGCUCUGAAAGAUGUUGAUGGGACAGACCUGGAGGAGGCCCUGGGAAAAGGUAUAGUUACAAGAUCCAGUGGGAUAGCUGAUUUAGUUAACUCACAAGGUAGAAUGAUCUCCCAAGAAGACAAUACCACAUCAUAUUUUAAGACAGAGAUAGGAUCAAGGAAACAGUAGCAUCCCAGAAAUAGUGGGGAAAUGGCACCCAUGUGCAUGAGGGUGUACCUGUGUGUAUAUAUGUGUGUGUGUAUAUGUGUGUCUAUAUGUGUAUGUGUAUACAUAUGUAUAUGUGUGUAUACGUGUGUCUCUGUGUCUAUAUGGUAUGUGUAAACGUGUGUAACUGUGUCCAGUAUGUAUCUCUGUGGGUGCAUGUGUCUAUCCAUGUGUAUGCAUGUUGUGUGUGUUAUGUAUCUGUGUUUCUGUGGUGAAGGUGGGGGCAGGGAAAGCCCUCUGCUUCUGUGUUACUCCCUGGAUUCACCUUGAACCAACAGGCAAGUUGUUGAGUCCCCAGACAUUACUCUGUGGAAGAAACACCACAAAGUGGCCUUGGCUAGUUGACAGAAUUUCUUUUUUUCAUGCUUUUUUUUUUUUUUUUUUUGAUUCAGUAGAGCUUUGAGAUUUUACUUUCAAAUCAAGAUUUAUUUUUGGCUUUUCUUUUCCAUGUUUUCCUCCCAGUUGCAUUUUUACCUUCACUUGACUCUUCCUCUCCCCCAUUUUUUCACACACACACACACACACACGCACACACACACACACCCAUCAUUACUACUCUGUCCCCUCCCCGCAUUGCUCUUCCAUCAGUUUCUAGCCCUGACAUUACAAACACUUUUACAAAAAUUGUUUUUUAGGGACUUCCCUGGCAGUCCAUUGGUUAAGACUCCAUGCUUCCACUGCGGGGGGCAUGAGUUCCAUCCCUGGUUGGGGAACUAAGAUCCUACAUGCCGCAAGAAAGACAUGGCCAAAAAAAAAGGUUUUUAAAAAUCUAACCUGUGAUUUUGCUUUAACUUUUAUACUAAAUGUGCUGAAUUUACAAAAUAACCCAUUUGCUCUGAGAACCCACAUUAGGCAUGAGAGAGUUUGGUUUGGGUUUGUUAUGUGUGUCCAUGCUUUUUGCUUUUCUCUCUUCUUCUCCCUCUCUCUCUCUUUCUUCUUGAACCUCCCUAAUUUCUAACCCCGAUGGCUUUUGGAAAGAACCUAAAAACCAGCUCAUCUUUGAACCGUGAGUCUGAGUGAACUCCGGGAGUUGGUGAUGGACAGGGAGGCCUGGCAUGCUGCAAUUCAUGGGGUCACAAAGAGUUGGACACGACUGAGUGACUGAACUGAACUGAACUAACUGAACUUCACUACUGAUAUGUGCAAGGCCCCUCCCCAUCCCCUUUUAGCCCCACUCCCUUUCCCAUGCCGCUGACCACAAAAUGCCAUGAUUUUAGGAUCCGUUUCCUGUUUCUUUCUGUGCACCGAGUGUGUCUACUGCCGGCUCCUCCAGGCUCUGCCUGUCCCAGUGAUGGACACUGAGGAGCCCCACAGUGAGUGUCCUGCGGGGAACAUUCCCACCUGUGUCCCCUCCUUUGGGAGUAGGCUUGCUGGCUUAAAGCGUAUUCGUGGAUGGAGGAUCUGCCGUUUCCCUGCCAGGGUCCCCUGCAGCCGGCUGCACACACCACAGGAUGGAGCUUCAUGGAACCUCCCUUCCCUGCCUGAGCCUUGUACAUCUAGCUUUCCAAUUUUGCGUGUCUAGGUGGGAAAUGAUCUCUUGUUCUUGUUUAAUUGGCAUUUCUCUUAUUACUAAAUGAUUUGAACAUCUCUCCCCACGUGUGUUCGCCUUUUAGAUUUCAAAUUUUCUUUUAUACCAAUGUACCUCCUGUGGAAUUAGUACUAUUAAUAAAUUGAUGUACUUUCCUACUGGGCAUCAUUUCAGAGGAAUCUAGAAGAGCAUGGCUCUUCCCACAUCUCCUCCUUGACCAUGAGCCUAAGGAGAGGUGGGCUGGCACUGGGGUUCUCUCUAAUCAGUUUCCUGUAAGACAGAGAGAGACAGAGCUCUUUGCUGGCAGUCAGCCACUUCUGCCAAGUAGCAUGAAGUAUGAAAAGAGGCCUGUGAUAUCCUCACAUUGUCCAGAGCCAUUGCGCUAGACCACUUCCCCUGACAAUUUCAUGCUCUUUAGCCCAUUUUCCCCAAGUAUAGCCUCACCUCUCUUCUUAGACUCAAGCCCAACUCCAAAUAGCAUCUUAUUGGAAUUAGAGUUUCAACAUGAAUUUGGAGGACACAAAUAUUCAGUCCCUUGCCCUGCCUUUGCCUGCAAGUAACAGUGCACACGAAGAGAUCAUUGCUAGGAUAGGAUAUCAGAGAACUGGUGGAGGCUUCCGACUUCCAAUCCUCAGCAUGAACAGAACCAGGAAAACUAGGGGCUCUGACCAGUGGGCUUAGCACCUUCCCCCUGGAGCAGUGGCCCCCAGAGCAGUGUGCACACACCCUUGGGAGUUACCAGACAAUCCUCUGAGUGAGGUACAGGAAGGAAAUACUCAAAUUUCUGUUUCUACUUAGUUUUAUCUCAUUUUAAUUUCUUCUUAUCUUUGUAUGCUUGGUAAUAUACAUAAUAGUAUUAUAUUGGUAUAAUUUAGAAAAUAAUAAAUGUACACCUCUUGGGGUAAAUAAUAGAAAAUUUUCUCUUAGCAAAUUUUCUCUUAGCAAAAGGAGCUUACUAUAGGACCUUGCUGGGCUUUCCUGGUGGCUCAGUGAUAAAGAAUAUGCCUACAAUGCAGGAGACACAGGAGAUGCAGUUUCGAUCCCUAGAUCAGGAUGAUCCCCUGGAGGAGGGAAUGGCAACCCACUCCAAUAUUCUUGCCUGGAGAAUGCCAUGGACAGUAGGAGCCUGGCAGGCUACAGUCCGUGGGGUUGCAAAGAGUUGAACACGACUGAAGCGACUUAGCACACAUGCAUAGGUCCUUGCUACUCAAAAUGUGGUCCAAGAACCUGGGCAUUCAUUGAAAAUGCAGACUCUCAGGCCUCACCCCAGACUGACUGAACCAGAAUCUGCAUUUUAACAAGACCCCCAUUGACUGUUGUGCGAGAGUGAGAAGCACCGCUUUAGAGCACUGCCAUUGAUAUAGU